CCACCCUCUAAACGUAAGGACAUUUUCUGUAUUGUAUGCAUUGUAUUAGUGAUUGUGUAUAUGUAUCCAAUAACACAUGUCCUGUCAUUUUUGUCUCAUCUCUUCAAUUUGAAUUAGGCUCAAGGUUAGCGUUGCUCUCCUCAGCUGUUGACCGUACUAAUCCCAACUUUACGGUUGCUGAUUGGAAACGAGAAUCAAACGCAAGACUCUGUGAAUUAGUAAAUUUGAGAUUAGUUUUUCUGAAUUAAAAUAUGCUGAAAUAUGCUUGCAUUCAUACUUUUCUGUAUAUUUCCCCAUAGCUGGACUCUAAGGGGGACCCUAAGGAGGAAAUUGUCCAAGCCCACAACUCAAUCCUCACAAGGUCUGACUUUUCUGACUCUGGGCCUAGAACGAGAUGUUGAAGCAACGGUAAAUCUGAACCAGGUGUGUUUAACUGUAUUUCCUCAUGGUAUGGGAUUAUUAAUUGUCUAAUCAUUGUUUCCUUUUAGAUUGCAAAUUGUUGUUUCAACAUUAUCGUCGAGACUGCAAAUGCACAUGGCAUUGCAACCGUGGCUGUGGAUGCCUAUGUGGUGGUCACCUGGCUUCCUCCAUAUGAGGCUUCUCCUGUUGCUAAAAUUAUUUGUGACUUUGCAUCCAAAGACGUGGUGCUUCUCCC